rnacentral:rRNA from 1 species
GACGGGGGGGGCAAGUGUUGUUCGGAAUUACUGGGCGUAAAGGGCUCGUAGGCGGCCAACUAAGUCAGACGUGAAAUCCCUCGGCUUAACCGGGGAACUGCAUCUGAUACUGGAUGGCUUGAGUUCGGGAGAGGUAAGCGGAAUUCCUGGUGUAGCGGUGAAAUGCGUAGAUAUCAGGAGGAACACCUGUGGUGUAGACAGCUUACUGGACCAUUUCUGACGCUGAGACACGAAAGCGUGGGUAGCAAACAGG